CGAGCGGCAGCACAGAGAAACUUGUUUCUCGGGUGGCGAGCGGCGGACGGGUGAGUAAUGCCUGGGAAAUUGCCCUGAUGUGGGGGAUAACCAUUGGAAACGAUGGCUAAUACCGCAUGAUGCCUACGGGCCAAAGAGGGGGACCUUCGGGCCUCUCGCGUCAGGAUAUGCCCAGGUGGGAUUAGCUAGUUGGUGAGGUAAGGGCUCACCAAGGCGACGAUCCCUAGCUGGUCUGAGAGGAUGAUCAGCCACACUGGAACUGAGACACGGUCCAGACUCCUACGGGAGGCAGCAGUGGGGAAUAUUGCACAAUGGGCGCAAGCCUGAUGCAGCCAUGCCGCGUGUGUGAAGAAGGCCUUCGGGUUGUAAAGCACUUUCAGUAGGGAGGAAGGUGGUAGUGUUAAUAGCGCUAUCAUUUGACGUUACCUACAGAAGAAGCACCGGCUAACUCCGUGCCAGCAGCCGCGGUAAUACGGAGGGUGCGAGCGUUAAUCGGAAUUACUGGGCGUAAAGCGCAUGCAGGUGGUUUGUUAAGUCAGAUGUGAAAGCCCCGGGCUCAACCUGGGAAUUGCAUUUGAAACUGGCAAACUAGAGUACUGUAGAGGGGGGUAGAAUUUCAGGUGUAGCGGUGAAAUGCGUAGAGAUCUGAAGGAAUACCGGUGGCGAAGGCGGCCCCCUGGACAGAUACUGACACUCAGAUGCGAAAGCGUGGGGAGCAAACAGGAUUAGAUACCCUGGUAGUCCACGCCGUAAACGAUGUCUACUUGGAGGUUGUGGCCUUGAGCCGUGGCUUUCGGAGCUAACGCGUUAAGUAGACCGCCUGGGGAGUACGGUCGCAAGAUUAAAACUCAAUGAAUUGACGGGGCCCGCACAAGCGGUGGAGCAUGUGUUUAAUUCGAUGCACGCGAGACCUUACCUACUCUGACAUCCAGAGAUCUGCGAGACGCUGGAGUGCUCGGAGCUCUGAGACCAGUGCUGCAUGCCUGUCGUCAGCUCUAUUGUGAAAUGGUGGUAGUCCGCAACGAGCCAAUCUAUCCAUAUGCAGCCGUAAUGUCGACUCAGGAAGCUGCGGUAUAGCUGAGA
rnacentral:rRNA from 1 species